UUCAGGUCAUUAUGCUCACUGGUAUCAGAAAACAUGGUUGAAGGAAUGCCAUGCAUUGAGCAAGUCGAUCAAGUGUGUGACGGCUACAUGAUCGCCAAGCAAAAAAGGUUGCCAUUCCCAGCACAAGCAGCAUUCAGAGCUCAGCGACAACUUGAGCUUUGGCAUGGCGACCUCUGUGGGCCAAUUACUCCAGUGACACCUGGUGGCAAGCAGUAUUUUCUCCUGUUGGUUGAUGACUUUUCCAGAUUCAUGUGGGUUGUCCUGCUGAAGGAAAAGGAUGAGGCGUUUGCAGCAAUUAAGAAAGUGCAAGCAGCAGCAGAACUUGAGAAGAGCAUGAAACUCAAGGCACUGCACACUAACAGGGGUGGGGAGUUCAAUUCGAAGGAGUUUGCUAGCUACUGUGAUGAACAUGGCAUCAAACAUUUUCGCACCGCUCCCUAUACUCCUCAGCACAAUGGCAUGGUAGAGCGCAGAAAUCAGACAGUAGUGAGUAUGGCAAGAAGCCUCCUAAAGAGCAUGGGGGGGCCGUCCAGAUUCUGGGGAGAGGCGGUGACGACUGCAGUAUACCUCUUAAAUAGGGCCCCAAUGAAAAGUGUUAAAGGUAUGACACCUUAUGAAGCAUGGUAUGGAAGGAAACCUUCAGUGAAGCACUUGAGAACGUUCGGCUGCACAGCUCAUGUGAAGAUAAUUGGGCCAGGACUGUCCAAACUGUCUGACAGAAGUAAACAGAUGGUUUUUAUUGGGUACGAGAGUGGUUCCAAAGCCUAUCGCAUGUACGACCCUGAAAGUAAGAAACUGGUCGUGACACAUGAUGUAGUGUUUGAGGAGAACAGACCUUGGGAUUGGAAUCAUCAAGUAUCAACCCAAGACGAUGUGCAGGAGCCUUUGGUGAUUCACUAUCCAGAACAGAAAGACACAUUCAUGACAGAGGAAGCAGCACCAACUCCUGCCGUGGCAGAGAAAAUAGCGCAAAAUCCUACCACGGCAGGAGCGACUCCAGGUUUAGUCUCAGCGCUAGUGCAAAAAGUGAAAACAAGGCAUGCCGGUGAUGGAAAUUCAGUUCCGCUCCAUCUUGAUCUGACGCCUCCAUCGUCGACACUAUCUCGUGGCACUGAUCCCUCUGACACACCUCUCACC
rnacentral:rRNA from 1 species